rnacentral:rRNA from 1 species
CCUACGGGGGGCAGCAGUGGGGAAUAUUGGGCAAUGGGCGCAAGCCUGACCCAGCAACGCCGCGUGAAGGAAGAAGGCUCUCGGGUUGUAAACUUCUUUUAUUAGGGACGAAGCAAGUGACGGUACCUGAUGAAUAAGCCACGGCUAACUACGGGCCAGCAGCAGCGGUAAUACGGAGGUGGCAAGCGUCAUCCGGAUUUACUGGGGGUAAAGGGUGUGUAGGCGGGCAAGCAAGUCAGAUGUGAAAACCAUGGGCUCAACCUGUGGCUUGCAUUUGAAACUGUUUUGCUUGAGUACUGGAGAGGCAGACGGAAUUCCUAGUGUAGCGGUGAAAUGCGUAGAUAUUAGGAGGAACACCAGUUGCGAAGGCGGUCUGCUGGACAGCAACUGACGCUGAGGCGCGAAAGCGUGGGGAGCAAACAGGAUUAGAUACCCGGGUAGUC